UACAGAGGGUGCAAGCGUUAAUCGGAAUUACUGGGCGUAAAGCGUGCGUAGACGGUUGCGUAAGUCAGAUGUGAAAGCCCCGGGCUCAACCUGGGAAUUGCAUUUGAGACUGCGUAGCUAGGGUGCGGAAGAGGGAAGCGGAAUUUCCGAUGUAACGGUGAAAUGCGUAGAUAUCGGAAAGAACACCAGUGGCGAAAGCGGCUUCCUGGUCCAGCACCGACGUUCAGGCACGAAAGCGUAGGGAGCAAACAGG
rnacentral:rRNA from 1 species